rnacentral:rRNA from 1 species
UACGUAGGGUGCAAGCGUUGUCCGGAAUUAUUGGGCGUAAAGAGCUCGUAGGCGGUCUGUUGCGUCGGCUGUGAAAACCCGGGGCUCAACUCCGGGCCUGCAGCCGAUACGGGCAGACUAGAGUUCGGCAGGGGAGACUGGAAUUCCUGGUGUAGCGGUGAAAUGCGCAGAUAUCAGGAGGAACACCGGUGGCGAAGGCGGGUCUCUGGGCCGAUACUGACGCUGAGGAGCGAAAGCAUGGGGAGCAAACAGG